rnacentral:rRNA from 1 species
AGUGAACGCUGGCGGUAGGCCUAACACAUGCAAGUCGAACGGCAGCACAGAGGAGCUUGCUCCUUGGGUGGCGAGUGGCGGACGGGGGAGGAAUACAUCGGAAUCUACUCUGUCGUGGGGGAUAACGUAGGGAAACUUCGCUAAUACCGCAUACGACCUACGGGUGAAAGCAGGGGACCUUCGGGCCUUGCGCGAUUGAAUGAGCCGAUGUCGGAUUAGCUAGUUGGCGGGGUAAAGGCCCACCAAGGCGACGAUCCGUAGCUGGUCUGAGAGGAUGAUCAGCCACACUGGAACUGAGCAACGGUCCAGACUCCUACGGGAGGCAGCAGUGGGGAAUAUUGGACAAUGGGCGCAAGCCUGAUCCAGCCAUACCGCGUGGGUGAAGAAGGCCUUCGGGUUGUAAAGCCCUUUUGUUGGGAAAGAAAUCCAGCUGGCUAAUAUCCGGUUGGGAUGACGGUACCCAAAGAAUAAGCACCGGCUAACUUCGUGCCAGCCGCCGCCGUAA